GUAAGGGUGUUGUAUACGUGACCAGCGGAGGGUCAUUACCGAGUUUACAACUCCCAAACCCCUGUGAACAUACCAAUUGUUGCCUCGGCGGAUCAGCCCGCUCCCGGUAAAACGGGACGGCCCGCCAGAGGACCCCUAAACUCUGUUUCUAUAUGUAACUUCUGAGUAAAACCAUAAAUAAAUCAAAACUUUCAACAACGGAUCUCUUGGUUCUGGCAUCGAUGAAGAACGCAGCAAAAUGCGAUAAGUAAUGUGAAUUGCAGAAUUCAGUGAAUCAUCGAAUCUUUGAACGCACAUUGCGCCCGCCAGUAUUCUGGCGGGCAUGCCUGUUCGAGCGUCAUUUCAACCCUCAAGCCCCCGGGUUUGGUGUUGGGGAUCGGCGAGCCCUUGCGGCAAGCCGGCCCCGAAAUCUAGUGGCGGUCUCGCUGCAGCUUCCAUUGCGUAGUAGUAAAACCCUCGCAACUGGUACGCGGCGCGGCCAAGCCGUUAAACCCCCAACUUCUGAAUGUUGACCUCGGAUCAGGUAGGAAUACCCGCUGAACUUAA
rnacentral:rRNA from 1 species